GCAGGGGCUGCACUCAAUGGCUUGGUGAGUGUAAGAACUCGGCUCCACUCUCACGUUCCACACUGUUUGAGUGGCGGCCUCACCGUAUAACAGUUUGAACUGACAGGCCAAAACAUAAAUCGGUCGCUCAAUAUCCACUCACAGAUGGAGCCAAUAAAUAUAGGGUGUCCGGUCACAUUUCCGGCACAAAGAAACGAACAAUGUGAAUUGAUGUUGUUUGUUUGUUCUAUAGUAAUUGUUCGUUUGACUGUUGUAUAUAAGGCCAGAAUUUCUUGUCUGGAUUUUGUUUUCCGAUCGUGAACGUUGAACAGAAUAGUAGUGCGCGCGUGUGUAAAUUGUAAAAUUGUAUGGUUAAAAGCAUUGUUAGUAAAAGUUAGUAUGAAGGUGUUAAUUGUUUCAAAGUCAUGCAGUUGUUAGUACGUUAUCAAAGCUAAAACACGAAAAGAACACCGACAAACAAAUUAAAAGUGAUAUAAUCCAGAAAAAGGUCCGAUGAGUGGGCCUUUUUCUGUGUAUUUCUUCUCUAACCAUCAGAAGUGACCUGGAAGUAGUUUUCCCGGAUGAUCGCGUCGUUUAACGAUCGGAAAGUGAUCCCGCCAUUCGCCGGCAGAAUUCAUCAUUGCCUUCACCGGCACAAUCGGCGUCUUUCGCUACCAACAUUCGAAGGCUCCGUCGCCAUCUUCAAUAGUUGGUCUUGACAACCGACCAACUACAAAUCUGGCCAUUCCCAAUGAACCCGAGACCCACAUCACCACAUCACGCACAUCCGGAUCCGGAAUAAUGAGAGCAAGUACCCUUAAUUAUGUGA